rnacentral:miRNA from 1 species
AUUCGUGCGAUUCUGGAUGCG